CAGCAGCCACGGGAAUACGUAGGGUGCGAGCGUUAAUCGGAAUUACUGGGCGUAAAGCGUGCGCAGGCGGUUCGUUAAGACAGAUGUGAAAUCCCCGGGCUUAACCUGGGAACUGCAUUUGUGACUGGCGAGCUAGAGUAUGGCAGAGGGGGGUAGAAUUCCACGUGUAGCAGUGAAAUGCGUAGAGAUGUGGAGGAAUACCGAUGGCGAAGGCAGCCCCCUGGGCCAAUACUGACGCUCAUGCACGAAAGCGUGGGGAGCAAACAGGAUUAGAUACCCGCGUAGUCCCUGUCUCUUAUAC
rnacentral:rRNA from 1 species